rnacentral:lncRNA from 1 species
AGUCAGCAGCAUGAAACCUCAGAUGAAAGUAUAUUAACUGAGGGUCUGGUAGAACUGUUCAGCAAAGCUAAGCAGACUUUAUUUAAAGAAAAUGCUCAUUCCCUUUUGCUGGACACACAACUUCUAAGAUCCAUGUAUCAUGCUGCUAAGUAGUGGCUUUGGGAUGCUCUCUGUAUAAAUGAAAUUUUCUAGUCAGCUGAAAUUCAAACACUAAACAUUCAAAUAUUUUAGUAGCUGCUGAUAUAAAUUGUACUGAAAUGUAAUGGUUUUAAGCGGAAGCAAUUUAAACAUCUUUUCACUUUUUCUUUAUGAUUGCAUCAGUCAGCUGUUGCUCCAUAAAAAUCAAUUCCACAACUCAGUGGCUUAAACUAAUUUUCAUUCAUUCUCACUCUCUGUGAUAGAGAUUGGCUGGGCAUGUUCUGGGCCAGGCCUGACGGCAUGACUCUACUUCAUGCUGCAGGCCUGUCUGGGUUUAGGUCCUCACUGUGGAUUAAGCUUAGGUCUGUUCCAGAAAUGUUUAUUUUGAGGGCCCAGUCUGAAGGAAGCAAACCAGCGAAGCUAUUCCUAUGGUCGUGGUAGGAGUACAAGAGUGUUAGCCCAACUGUGCAAGCGCACUUCAGCUGUCAACUGGAAUCACAUCUGAUUCCAUUCCGUUGGUCAAAGUGCGGAGCUAAGAACUCUACAUGUAUAAUGUCAUGUAAUUCCCCACGCCUCUCCAGCGUAGGUACUCU